UACGUAGGGUCCGAGCGUUGUCCGGAAUUACUGGGCGUAAAGAGCUCGUAGGUGGUUUGUCGCGUUGUUCGUGAAAACUCACAGCUCAACUGUGGGCGUGCGGGCGAUACGGGCAGACUAGAGUACUGCAGGGGAGACUGGAAUUCCUGGUGUAGCGGUGGAAUGCGCAGAUAUCGGGAAGAACACCCGUGGCGAAGGCGGCUCUCUGGGACGGUACUGACGCGUGAGACGCGAAAGCGUGGGGAGCGAACAGG
rnacentral:rRNA from 1 species